rnacentral:lncRNA from 1 species
GCUGAGGAGGCAGAGAAGGGGCGAGAGGGGUCCCAGAGGGGGCUCUGGCCACAUCCUGGGCUCAGGGGAAAGACUUCCUUGAAUUUUGAGCAUGAGAGAGGUGCCAAGUGACUUUUCUUAGCUCCUGCUUGUGCAUGAAUAAAUGCCACUGAAAGAGCAUCUUUGGGAGAAACAUCCAGGGGGAGCAACUCUCCUGCUGUCCAAGAGGAACCAGGAGACGGAGUCCAUCAAUCUGCCAGUUUGUCAGUUUCACGGAGUUUGGCAGUUCUGAAAACGGUAGGCAGCUGUCAAACUGCCCACCCCCAAACUGCUACUGAAUCAGAAGGAAAAGGAUGCUGAACCUCAAUCGAUGCCCAGGAACAGCCAGAGGACACAGGAGCCAAAGUGUCUGCAUGGGGUCUUGGCUCUAAAGGAGAAGCCCCGGCCCAGCAGCUCUGGACUUGCUCUUGGGCAUGCCUCUCUCGCUCCAGAAACCUGAGGACCAGGCCCUGGAAACACAAAGGGGCAAGAUAACCUGGACUCGCUUGCUGCCACAGAAAAGUGAGCAGAUGCUGCCACAGAGGGAGUCGUGGGGAAGUGUUUAGGGAGGGAGGGAUUGCAAUUAGAUGAGGAAAAGCUACCACACUGACCUUUCCGUGUUCUUGACUCUGCUGCUGGACAUGUUCCCUAAAUGGAAAGGAAAAAUAGGUUAAGGAUGUGAGGAAGCCACGGGGGUCAAGGAACUGGGCCUGAUAAGCCAAGUGGCUGCCAGUCUGUCCCACUUUGCUUCCUGCUGUUGAGAGGCCUGCAGAACCAGACUCUCAGGCCCUGAGCUGGAGCAGACCUGGGCACAACGGCUCCCUCUUCGGCAACACGAUGAAUAAGGGGGGCACUCGGUGUGUGAAUCUUAAUGGCAGCUGACUGUGCAGGGAGUGCAGGACAGUACAGAGAGCAAGAACUCUGGAGUCCCAGAGGCCUGGUGGGUACUUCAGCUCUGCCACCUGCAAUGUGAAGAGUACCCACCGACCUCAUCGCAUGUGGCACAGAAUAGAUGCUCACUAAAUGGCAGCUUUAUUUUCUAGGUACUGAUGCUGUUCCAGGUACCCUAUAGGACUAGGAUAAAGACGAUAGCCAUUUGCUUUCCUAUGUCCUAUCUUGUGUACUCUGAUCCUGUGGGUCAAAAUCAAUGUUUAAGCCAAGGUCAAACAAAGCUGAUAUUAAAAAGUAAAUGGAGGCCGGGCGUGGUGGCUCACGUCUGUAAUUUCAACAUUUUGGUAGGCCGAGGCAGGUGGAUUGCUUGAGCUCACAAGUUUGAGACCAGCCUGGGCAGCAUAGUAAGACCCUAUCUUUAAAAAAAAAAAAAAAAAAUUAGCCAGGCAUGGUGGCGCAUGCCCGUAGUCCUAGCUACUUGGGAGGCUGAGGUGGGAGGAUGGUUUGAGCCCAGGAGGUGGAGGUUGCAGUGAACAGAGAUGGCGCCACUGCACUCCAGCCUGGGCGACAGAGCCAGACCUUGUCUCACAAAAAAAGUAAAGUAAAAUAAACAAAUAAAAUAAAAAGAAAAAAGAGUAAAUGGAUCUUCUGGUAUAUACCUGAAAAAUAAGUAAAUAAAUGUAAGAUAAAUGGAAUAAAAUAAAAAAAUCAGCUUUAGCUGGAGGGCCAGGAUGAUGGUGGAUCCAUGACCACCUGUGCCUCUGGGCCUUAAGAAGUUCCAGAUUCUCCUCUAGGCCACACCUUGGGGGCAAACACAAUCCAAAGAAGCCUCUCACAUUCCCUUGCGUAUCAGCACAUUACACCCAAAACUCACUUCACUGCUAGAUAUCUACAAAACUAAUUUUUUUUUCUUUUUUUUGAGACAGAGUCUCACUCUGUUGCCCAGGCUGGAGUGCAGUGGUGUGAUCUCAGCUCACUGCAACUUGUCUCCAGGGUUCAAGCGAUUCUCCUGCCUCACCCUCCCAAGUAGCUGGGAUUACAGGCAUGCGCCACCACACAUGGCUAAUUUUGUAUUUUAGUAGAGACAGGGUUUCACCAUGUUGGCCAACUGGUCUCAAACUCCCGACCUCAAGCGAUUCACCUGCCUCGGUCUCCCAAAUUACUGGGAUUACAGGCGUGAGCCACUGUGCCCGGCCUACAAAACUGAUUAAGUUAAAGUAAAAAUGCUGUGUAUCUGCAUAGAAGGGGGGAAUUUUUGACAUAUUUGCUUCUAUGUGCAUAGAGUCCUAGAAACUGUUCACACUUUCAGGGAGGAAGGUCAGUGGUUGAGGAGAAGCUGGAGCAGGGCGAGAAUUUUUGUUGUAUACCCUUUUGAAUUUUGAAUAACACAAAUUUAACAGCAGCAAUGUCCCCAACACUCCUAGAGGAGAGGGUGUGGAGAGGGCGUCAGUGUCUGAAUGCUCC